rnacentral:rRNA from 1 species
UACGUAGGCAGCAAGCGUUGUUCGGAGUUACUGGGCGUAAAGAGUGCGUAGGCGGUCCUGUAAGUUUGGUGUGAAAUCUCCCGGCUCAACUGGGAGGGUGCGCCGAAGACUGCAGGGCUUGAGUAUGGGAGAGGUAAGCGGAAUUCCUGGUGUAGCGGUGAAAUGCGUAGAUAUCAGGAGGAACACCUGUGGUGUAGAUAGCUUACUGGACCAUCACUGACGCUGAGGCACGAAAGCGUGGGUAGCAAACAGG